rnacentral:rRNA from 1 species
UGGGGAAUAUUGGACAAUGGGCGCACGCCUGAUCCAGCCAUGCCGCGUGAGUGAUGAAGGCCCUAGGUUUGUAAAGCUCUUUCACCGGUGAAGAUAAUGACGGUAACCGGAGAAGAAGCCCCGGCUAACUUCGUGCCAGCAGCCGCGGUAAUACGAAGGGGGCUAGCGUUGUUCGGAUUUACUGGGCGUAAAGCGCACGUAGGCGGACUAUUAAGUCAGGGGUGAAAUCGCGGGGCUCAACCCCGGAACUGCCUUUGAUACUGGUAGUCUUGAGUGCGAAGGAGGUGGGUGGAAAACCGAGUGUAGAGGUGAAAAUCGUAGAUAUUCGGAGGAACACAAGUGGCGAAGGCGGCUCACUGGCUGGAUACUGACGCUGAGGUGCGAAAGAGUGGGGGGCAAAAAAG